rnacentral:rRNA from 1 species
UACGAAGGGGGCUAGCGUUGUUCGGAAUUACUGGGCGUAAAGGGCGCGUAGGCGGUGUGUCAAGUCAGGCGUGAAAGCCCCGGGCUCAACCUGGGAACCGCGCUUGAGACUGGCACGCUCGAGUUCGGGAGAGGAUGGUGGAAUUCCCAGUGUAGAGGUGAAAUUCGUAGAUAUUGGGAAGAACACCGAUGGCGAAGGCAGCCAUCUGGACCGACACUGACGCUGAGGCGCGGAAAGCGUGG